rnacentral:rRNA from 1 species
GACAGAGGGUGCAAACGUUGUUCGGAAUUACUGGGCGUAAAGCGCGCGCAGGCGGUCUUCCAAGUCAGUGGUGAAAGCCCGGAGCUCAACUCCGGAACUGCCAUUGAAACUGUAAGACUUGAGGAUGAGAGAGGUGAGUGGAAUUCCCAGUGUAGAGGUGAAAUUCGUAGAUAUUGGGAAGAACACCGGUGGCGAAGGCGGCUCACUGGCUCAUUACUGACGCUCAGGCGCGACAGCGUGGGGAUCAAACAGG